rnacentral:ncRNA from 1 species
UACCUGGUUGAUCCUGCCAGUAGUCAUAUGCUUGUCUCAAAGAUUAAGCCAUGCAUGUGUAAGCACACACUGUUUUAAAAGUGAAGCCGCGAAUGGCUCAUUACAACAGCCACAGUUUAUUAUAACUUACAAUCAUGGAUAACUGUGGUAAUUCUAGAGCUAAUACACGCACAAAAACUUCAACUGAAUUGGGUUGAAGUGCUUUUUAUUAAAACAAAAAACCUAACGGGCGUUUUGACAAAUGUUGAACCGCCAAAACUGUUUGGGUGAAUCUGAAAUAAUUAAUUUCUGAUCGCAUGGGUCUAACCCCGGCGACAUCACUUUCCAGUGGUCUGGCCUUAUCCACCCUUUCAAGGGAAGCCUAUGCAACUACCCUGGGUGAUAACGGGGUAACGGAAAAUUCAGGGUUCCACUCCCGGAAAAGGGAGCCCGGAAAAACGGCUACCCCCAUCCCAGGGAAGGAAGCAGGGGCCGCAAAAUUAUACCCCCCUCCCCAGCUUGGGGGAGGGUAGUGGACUAAAAAAUACGAAAACGAAUUCUCCGUUUGGAAAAAAGAUAUUGCAGAUUGGGGGCCCCCUUAUACACCCCCCCCAUGGUUUUACAAUGGGGGGGGGACA